CCUACGGGAGGCAGCAGUGAGGAAUAUUGGUCAAUGGACGCAAGUCUGAACCAGCCAUGCCGCGUGAAGGAUGAAGGCGUUCUGCGUUGUAAACUUCUUUUAUUGGGGAAGAAACCUGAGAUUUCUAUUUCAGCCGACGGUACCCAAGGAAUAAGCACCGGCUAACUCCGUGCCAGCAGCCGCGGUAAUACGGAGGGUGCAAGCGUUAUCCGGAUUUACUGGGUUUAAAGGGUGUGUAGGCGGACUUUUAAGUCAGGGGUGAAAUCCCGAGGCUCAACCUCGGAACUGCCUUUGAUACUAUUGGUCUUGAAUCUUGUUGAGGUGGGCGGAACGGGUCAUGUAGCGGUGAAAUGCAUAGAUAUGACCCGGAACACCGAUUGCGAAGGCAGCCCGCUAAGCAAGCAUUGACGCUGAGGCACGAAAGCGUGGGGAUCAAACAGGAUUAGAUACCCUGGUAGUCCACGCCCUAGACGAUGAUUACUCGACGUUGGCGAUACACUGAUCAGCGUCCAAGCGAAAGCAUUAAGUAAUCCACCUGGGAAGUACGUUCGCAAGAAUGAAACUCAAAGGAAUUGACGG
rnacentral:rRNA from 1 species